rnacentral:rRNA from 1 species
AGCGAACGCUGGCGGCGUGCCUAACACAUGCAAGUCGAGCGAACCGUUUAGGGAAACUUGAACGGUUAGCGGCGGACGGGUGAGUAACACGUGGGUAACCCACCUGGGGGACCGGGAUAACGGCUCGAAAGGGCCGCUAAUACCGGAUACGCUCCCUGAGGCACAAGCCUUGGGGAGGAAAGGUCGCGCAAGCAGCCACUCCCAGACGGGCCUGCGGCCCACUAGCUAGUUGGCGGGGUAACGGCCCACCAGGGCGAUGAUGGGUAGCCGGUCUGAGAGGAUGACCGGCCACACUGGGACUGAGACACGGCCCCGACUCCUACGGGAGGCAGCAGUGGGGAAUAUUGGACAAUGGGCGAAAGCCUGAUCCAGCCACGCCGCGUGUGUGAAGAAGGUCUUCGGAUUGUAAAGCACUUUAAGUUGGGAGGAAGGGCAGUAAGUUAAUACCUUGCUGUAUUGACGUUACCGACAGAAUAAGCACCGGCUAACUUCGUGCCAGCAGCCGCCGUAAUAC